rnacentral:misc_RNA from 1 species
AGGAUUUAUUUCUUUGAAUUUAUUGCUGGUUACCUUUUGGGGAGACCACUUCCUAUCACGAUCUUAUUCCUAAAUUCCUAAUUAGGAUUUAUGGACUAACAGAAUAGGGACUAUUUGUGAAAAAGUUAUUUGACUCUUCCAUGAGAAGGAGAGGCUUUUGCCAUUGAUGAGAGUAGCAUUCAAGAGGAAAGAAUUCUUGUAUAUGGUUAAAUACACCCUUUGGUGGGGAUAUGUCUAGAGGAGACUAAG